rnacentral:rRNA from 1 species
UACGUAGGGGGCAAGCGUUGUCCGGAUUUAUUGGGCGUAAAGAGCGUGUAGGCGGCCAUACAGGUCAGCUGUGAAAACUCGAGGCUCAACCUCGAGACGUCGGUUGAAACCGUAUGGCUAGAGUCCGGAAGAGGAGAGUGGAAUUCCCGGUGUAGCGGUGAAAUGCGCAGAUAUCGGGAAGAACACCCGUGGCGAAGGCGGCUCUCUGGGCCGAUAUUGACGCUGAGGAGCGAAAGCGUGGGGAGCGAACAGG